rnacentral:rRNA from 1 species
UACGUAGGGGGCUAGCGUUGUCCGGAAUCAUUGGGCGUAAAGCGCGUGUAGGCGGCCCGAUAAGUCCGCUGUGAAAGUCCAGGGCUCAACCCUGGGAUGCCGGUGGAUACUGUCGGGCUCGAGUCCGGAAGAGGAGAGUGGAAUUCCUGGUGUAGCGGUGAAAUGCGCAGAUAUCAGGAAGAACACCCGUGGCGAAAGCGGCUCUCUGGGACGGUACUGACGCUGAGACGCGAAAGCGUGGGGAGCGAACAGG